UAUAAAGCUAGUAAAAAGUAGAGCAAAGCUUCGAAUCUGGCAUUCUGACUCUAGAAUCUGGGCUGUUCAGUUCUGUAUUGUGACAUUCUCCAGACUGGAGCUUCUGGGGUUAAACACAGCCUUGUCUGAUAGCAAAGGGCUGGGGAGCAAGAGGAGCCAGGUGAUAUGGAGCUGCUGGUUGGAGACCCUCCUUGGAGAACCACCAUCCCAACUGAUACCAGGGGCAAGGGGUUCUGUACGCAGAACCUGGAAUAGGGCUCUCUCUUGCCAUGGGCCACAUGCCCUUAAAAACAUUGGAAGAAGCUCUUCUCAGAAGGUCACCAGCUGUCAUGCAAGAAAAGAGUAAAUCCAACCCCUUCUCAUCAGAUCCAGUGACCUGAUAGCAGUUUAAUUUUUUUUUUUUUUCUGCUCCCCACCUGAAAUAUCAAGCAUCAGCUGGGCCAAGAAUUACACUCAAAGUAACACAAUGGAUGCGACUGCCCUACCUUUGAGCUGCUGGUAGAAGGGAUUUAUACAAAUUCCUUUAUUCAUUCAUUUAUUCAUCUACAGACAAGCAUUUACGGAGAACCUAUGUAUGCCAGGGCUGAAAAGGAUGCUUGAAGUCCAAAGGAAAAUAAAUAAUAUUCUUACAGCUAAAGCGGUGAUUCUAGCAUGUGGUGUUAAAUCGAAUCAGAAGAUCCCACAUGUAUCAUCAAAACAUCACCUUUCAUUCCCUCUAUCA
rnacentral:lncRNA from 9 species